CGGGGUAUGGCCCAGCUUGGUAGGGCGCCUGACUGGGGGUCAGGAGGUCAUCGGUUCGAAUCCGGUUACCCCGAC
rnacentral:tRNA from 1 species